GGGGAUAGCUCAGUGGUAGAGCAGAUGCUUAGCUGAGCUCCUGGGUUCGAUCCCCAGUCCCUCCA
rnacentral:tRNA from 1 species